rnacentral:rRNA from 1 species
GCCGAAACUUCGGAUGCAUUUAAUGCAUGGUAGCGGAGCGUAGUGUGACAUAGUUCCAUGCGUCCUUCGUUUUAUAGCGGACUGCCCAGGCUUUCGAGCCUGUGUGGAGGCGCGUAAAAUACUGGACGCAAGGAGCUUUCUGUGAAGCCGGCCUGUGAGGGAUCCGGUGGAGAGAUCACUAGUGAGAAUGAUGACAUGAGUAACGACAAAGGGGGUGAGAGACCCCCUCGCCGAAAAUCCAAGGGUUCCUGCUUAAAGCUAAUCUGAGCAGGGUAAGCCGGCCCCUAAGCCGAGGGCGAAAGCCGUAGGCGAUGGGAACCAGGUUAAUAUUCCUGGGCCAGGAGGAAGUGACGGAUCACGAAGAUUGUUGGAUCAGGCGUAGUUGCCCCAGCAGUUCAGUGGUUCCUGGAAAUAGCCCUCCAUCAGACCGUACCCUAAACCGACACAGGUGGAUAGGUAGAGUAUACCAAGGCGCUUGAGAGAACUAUGUUGAAGGAACUCGGCAAAAUACCUCCGUAAGUUCGCGAGAAGGAGGCCCGGUUUCUAGGCAACUGGAAGCUGGGGGCACAAACCAGGGGGUGGCGACUGUUUACUAAAAACACAGGGCUCUGCGAAGUCGCAAGACGACGUAUAGGGUCUGACGCCUGCCCGGUGCCUGAAGGUUAAAAGGAGGGGUGAGAGCUCCGAAUUGAAGCCCAGGUAAACGGCGGCCGUAACUAUAACGGUCCUAAGGUAGCGAAAUUCCUUGUCGGGUAAGUUCCGACCUGCACGAAUGGCGUAACGACUUCCCCGCUGUCUCCAAUGUAGACUCAGCGAAAUUGAAUUGCCUGUUAAGAUGCAGGCUUCCCGCGGUUAGACGGAAAGACCCCGUGCACCUUUACUACAGCUUCACACUGGCAUUAGGUCAGACGUGUGCAGGAUAGGUGGUAGGCUUUGAAACUCGGACGCCAGUUCGGGUGGAGCCUUCCUUGAGAUACCACCCCUGUCUGUCUUGAUGUCUAACCGCGGUCCGUUAUCCGGAUCCGGGACCCUGUGUGGCGGGUAGUUUGACUGGGGCGGUCGCCUCCUAAAGAGUAACGGAGGCGCGCGAAGGUUGGCUCAGAGCGGUCGGAAAUCGCUCGUUGAGUGCAAUGGCAGAAGCCAGCCUGACUGCGAGACUGACAAGUCGAGCAGAGUCGAAAGACGGCCAUAGUGAUCCGGUGGUCCCGAGUGGAAGGGCCAUCGCUCAACGGAUAAAAGGUACGCCGGGGAUAACAGGCUGAUACUGCCCAAGAGUCCAUAUCGACGGCAGUGUUUGGCACCUCGAUGUCGGCUCAUCUCAUCCUGGGGCUGGAGCAGGUCCCAA